rnacentral:rRNA from 1 species
UAACACGUGGGGAACCUGCCCCAUAGUCUGGGAUACCACUUGGAAACAGGUGCUAAUACCGGAUAAGAAAGCGGAUCGCAUGACCAGCUUUUAAAAGGCGGCGUAAGCUGUCGCUAUGGGAUGGCCCCGCGGUGCAUUAGCUAGUUGGUAAGGUAAAGGCUUACCAAGGCGAUGAUGCAUAGCCGAGUUGAGAGACUGAUCGGCCACAUUGGGACUGAGACACGGCCCAAACUCCUACGGGAGGCAGCAGUG